rnacentral:snRNA from 1 species
AUAUAUUUUGUAAAAAAAAAUCUGUUCUUAUCAGUUUAAUAUCUGAUACGUCCCCCAUCGGGGGACUACAGAUAUUAAAUGGAUUUUUCGAACAGGGGAGUCGGAAAUGGGGCUUGCUCCGUCCGCUCCACGCAUCGACCCGGUAUUGCAGUACCUCCGGGAACGGUGCAACACUU